rnacentral:tRNA from 1 species
AAGGCUUUAGCUUAAUUAAAGUACCUGUUUUGCAUACAGGAGAUGUGGGGUAAUGUCCUGCAAGCCUUA